rnacentral:rRNA from 1 species
UAGGGAAUUUUCGUCAAUGGGGGGAACCCUGAACGAGCAAUGCCGCGUGAGUGAAGAAGGUCUUCGGAUCGUAAAGCUCUGUUGUAAGAGAAAAACGGAUCAUGUAGGGAAUGACAUGAUAGUGAUGGUAUCUUACCAGAAAGCCACGGCUAACUACGUGCCAGCAGCCGCGGUAAUACGUAGGUGGCAAGCGUUAUCCGGAAUGAUUGGGCGUAAAGGGUGCGUAGGUGGUACAUUAAGUCUGAAGUAAAAGGCAGCAGCUCAACUGCUGUUCGCUUUGGAAACUGGUGAACUAGAGUGCAGGAGAGGGCGAUGGAAUUCCAUGUGUAGCGGUAAAAUGCGUAGAUAUAUGGAGGAACACCAGUGGCGAAGGCGGUCGCCUGGCCUGUAACUGACACUGAGGCACGAAAGCGUGGGGAGCAAAUA